GUUAAAGCUAAUGUAGCUUGAGUGCAAAGUUUCACGUGCAUAUUUGUUUGUAACAAAGAAGUUAGGAAUUUUUCGACUGAUAGAUGUUGAUAUGCAAAAUAAGACACUAUUCCGAAGCUUUAUUCAUAGUCUUCCCAAACUUGAUGUUUACCAUAAAAGAAUAAUGCCAUCACAUCUUUCAACACAAACCGUCCUACAUUGCUUUCUAAAACCUACACAACAACCUACCCUUCUUCAUUCACUAUUUUACACAAUAUCCUUCUUUUCCGACCCUAACCGAAACCCUCAGAAUUUUCCCUCCGAAAUCGAAUAACCUCUAACCCCGCGCCCCCUGCAUAGCGAAGCCGACAGGACGCCAUUUGUUGUUUGCAAAAAGGAGCCCCAGAGAACCCACAACUCGGACGUGAGGAGGAGGGUUUAAAUAGGCCUCCGCGCUCCAACAUGGCGGAUGUGGACAUUGAUCUCUACGGAGACGUGGAACAAGACUUCACUCAGCAUCUGCAUUCGUCAUAGAAGGAGAAUAACUGGUUAAUUGGCAGAAGGAGUAGGCAGUAUAAAGAUCAUCUAACGCAUCUUUUAUGCAAAGACUUCAAAAGGAAUAUGAAAGUUGACAUGCUGAUGUAGAUGCAGGAUAGCACAGUGCAUUGAUGGCUUCUUACUGACAUAUCUGGUUAUCUCUUUGUUUUUUAUUUUUAUGUAAUUGUUUUAAUAGCCAGAUUGUUUAAAUAGGAAAAUGGUAGAUUGGAAAAGGAGGAGGACAUUAAUUUCAGCCGAGACUACUAACUACAUUUCCUCAAGAAGAGUCCUGCUCUUUAUUUGUAUAUAUUUUGAAGUUUACCAGAUUACUCAUAUUUUGCUUUGGGUAUUGUUGCUUUUCAUUCUACAGAUCUUUUUUAUUCAUUUUUAUAUAUACUUACUGUUUGGUGAAAUGGAGUCUUUAUUAUUAUUUUUCAUAGAUUCUGGUAAGACUGAAAGUUUGUGUAUGUUUGUCUGUGUGUUUG
rnacentral:misc_RNA from 1 species